AUUAUUAUUAGUAUUAUUACCUUAGAUUAUCUAUUAACAGGCCAGGGAGUGCAGCGACAUGGCUGUCAAAUAUCUUCAUAUCAUUAAUGGCUCCUAUAGGGUGUGUGAUAAUAUUCGUUAUAGUACUUUUCAUUAUAAUCAUGUUAAUAAUAUCUUGUUACAGAACAGCUGUUAGAGCACCACCUGGAAAAAAUGCAGGAGGGGGAAGGUCCUUCAACUUAAGUGUUUGAGGUAGAGAAGAUAGUAGAUUGUGCGAUCAAAGAUAACGACCUCUAUUACUGAGUAAGAUAGACAGGAUAUCCUCCGAGUGAUGAUACCUGGGAACCUUCUAUACAUCUUACUUUAUGUGACAAACUUUUUGUUGAUUUUUGGGACAAAUGGUUGGAUGAAAUUUCGUUAGAAUAUGUUAUUACGAUCUGAUAUUUUGAUCCCUAUUAUUGAAGAAGGGUCCCCACAACAAACAAGUGGGUCUAUGAGAUAGAUAAAAUAGAAGGAUGCAAAAUAGAUAAUGAUAAUGUACUUUACAAGGUAAGAUGGACUACCCCAAUACCCUCUGAGUACACAACAGAUUGAGGGGAUUGGAGACCACAUACUGUAUCUGUGACUUAUUAAGUGGGUGGACACCAAAACACAAAGAUACAGUACUGUUAUAAUAUGUAGAUGAUUUACCUUUGUGUUUUGAAAAUAAGGGAAAGUGUAAGGAAGACACAGUAGGAUUACUGUGUUUUCUGGCUCAGACUGGCAACAAAGUCAGUAAAGAAAAAUUACAAGGCAAUUGAAAACCUAAAAAGAACUUUGACAGAGGCACCAACUUUAGCACUGCGAAAUUAUGAAAAACCAUUCCAGCCUAUGCACUAUUGCUGGAUAAGGUGGCAGAUCUAGUAUUGGAUCAUGAAUUGGGAAAUUGUAACUGACAUUUUAAAUAGAGUAUAAACAAAGCAUCUGUCAGCAGAGGCAAAAGGACAUGCGAAAGCAGAUGACAGUCAUGACAGUGAGUUAUGACAAAAAAGACCACAAGGGGCCAGUUGAUCUGCAGGUCCUAGCAACCAUGCAGGACCAAGCUCCUAAAGUGGAAAAAACAAAAUGGUCAAAAUUAGGAGCCACCAGAGAUGAGAAAGGACUCUGGAGAAAUGGCCUAACAUACUGUCUGCCUAAGGCAUUAUAUGCUAUGAUGGCUCACCUAACCCAUGGAGUUGCGCAUUCAUGUAAGAACGCAAUGGCUGCCACGGUUCAAAGGAUUUCCAGCUUUUGCUGCAAAAUGUUUUUUCUUGUGUUACCUGUUUACGUCAUAAUCCAGGCCAAGUAGUCAAAACUCCAAGACGACACUCACCUAAGCCAGACUACCCUUCCAAAGACUUCAAAUGUACUACAACCAGCUACCCAGAAUGGGGACAUUUGGAAUUGUUCCUUUUUGAUAAUGUAGAAAAUAUUUGCAAUCAUCAUGAUAUCCGUCUGCUCAACUAAUGACAUGAAAGGAACAAUUUUUGUUGACAAUGAAAAUUUUCUACGAGAAUCAAAUCAUUCUUGCUUCAAUCCACAAUUUAACUAUGGUGGCAUAUUCCAUAUCUCCAUAAGACGUACAUCAAAGUGGUUGCUAUCAGGAACUUGCUCCAAUUAUAAGGACGUUUAUAGCUGGUCUUGUGUUUACACGAAACAACUUUCUAUUGGCAUUAUAACAUCAGUAAAUAGUACUUGGGAUAACACUGAAGCCAAUACCAAAGCGGAGAUGGCAUAUUUUCCAACCUUUUACAAUAACACUGGAGGAUGGAAUAAACGGCUACCUUUCACCAAAAAGAACAUUACUAAACACUUGGAGUGGAACCUUAUGGGGAUUGAGUUUAUUAUGUUAUGUUUGGUAUCUUAGACUAAAGAGGGGAAAUUAGUUAUUUUUAGGCAAUUAAUUGGUUUGCGGUGGAUCGAGAAUUCUCCAGCAUGAGUUAUGGUCAAAUUCUGCUGGUCAAGAAUGAAUUUUUGGUUUUGAAGACGGUCUUAGUCCCUCUUCACGACAAAGGAGCUGCAAUAAAGUUAAUUGCAUUUAGGCACAAGCUUAGGGCUGUAGGUUACAUAGUUUAGUGUGGUCAGUAGAAUGACCAAAAGAGGGGAAAUGUUAAGGUUAUAUGGAUACAUAUAUAUUAAUUAAACUAUAUAGAGCAAUUUUAAUACUAUGUUAUUCUUUCAUUGUGUAAGUCAAUAUUUCUGAACUAGGCUUAAUCACAAAAUGACAUUCUAAAUGACAUUUUUGUAAAGUUAAGUAAAUAGUAAUGUUUGAAUUAACUAUUGAUUUAAGAUGUACUGCCAAAACUUGUAAUUAGGGAAUAAAUCAAAUCUGGUCUCAUGAUGAGUAGUCCUAAAAGAUAACAUGUAAUCAGGACGUGCUUCAAUCUGAUUGGUGAAAUUAUAAGACCACCCUAUGUCCUCAUUGUGUGGGAACAAUUAAUAUAUAAAGAUCUGCCUACCAAUCAGGUAGGACAGAACAGCUA